CAUAAUGUGAGCACUUGAGUGCCAAUAAACUGCUUGAGCCUCCUCAUCCUCAAAUUUAAGAAGCUCUAAGAGUCACUCAAACUGCUGAAAGAACCCAGCUAGUGAAUUACAGGAUUAGAAUUCUAGCUCCAGACUCCUCAUAUCCCAAGUCAUCAAGCCCUUGCUGAGAAUAAACCCAACUUUGGAGGAGAACAGGAGGAGUUGCCAGACGGGAGAACAAAGAGAACCUGUCUCUGCUUCAGCCUCUCCCUAACGUCAUGAGGAGGAGAGGACCAGCUAACUGCCAGCUUUAUGGCUGUGCCUCUGGGGAGCUUUCCCAGAAGCUGUGCAUUCAGAAAAGGAGGCGUCCAGGCCCCAGAGAGCUGAUGCUCAUGGGCAGCCGGGAAUCAGCACAUGAGCCUGCCAGUCAACUGCGGUCUUCCUCCCUCUGAAGAUCAGGACUUUGACUAAUAAAAGCCAG
rnacentral:lncRNA from 1 species